rnacentral:rRNA from 1 species
AUGUCGCUGUUAGUUGAUUCGGGCAGUUCUUCCUCAUUCGUCGACCGACGUCUCGCAGCCAAAUUGACUGGAGUCUGCAAAUUACCCAAAGCGUGCAGAGUUAAAGUUGUUGAUGGUGCUGUACUGAACUGUGACAGUUUCAUGCCGCAGUGCCAAUGGACAUCUCAAGGGCAUGAAUUUACCAUAGAUUUCAAACUUCUUUCACUCGGGGCCUAUGAUGCUAUCUUAGGUAUGGACUGGCUCAGGAAGCAUAUCCCUAUGCAUAUUGAUUGGGAGGCACAACAAAUGACAGUUACAGCUGAAGGAGGUUUGGUUGAUUGCAAGCAGUUGCUAGUGACCAUCAUCAAUGCUCUCUCAUAUCGUCUCAAGAACUACUGA